CAGGGCCCUGUUUCAGAAAGCCGGUUUAGUGCAAACUCUGAGUAAGUAUACCCUGAGUUAACGAAAACUCUGGGUUUUCGGUUUCACAAAGCGAGUUUAGAUUAAUUCUGAGUGAGUUACUAUGACGACACACUCCGUGAAGCUAACCUGCCCCCUAGCAGGUUUACUUCAACUAACCCUGAACUUCUCCGCCUCUUUGUCGGAAACCUGACUGUAGGAAGUGUCAGACAUGGCGUGCCCCUUCCUUGAAGAGCCAGUAGAUGUUGAAGCCCAAAUUCUCCGCAGAGCUCUCCGCCGGGAGUGAGUGAUUAGAGCGCGUUUGGACAUUUUAUCAUGUCCUGAUGAUUUUCUGUGUGAACGUUACCGUUUUUCAGCACAAUCGAUAAUUUAUUUGAAUAACAUCCUCAGGCCUUAUAUUGCUCAUGUGACACAUCGCGGACAUUCUCUCAGUUCUGUACAUAUUAUUUGUAUUGCACUUCGUUUUUUUGCAAACGGGAGCUUUCUGUAUAAUAUUGGUGACGCUGAGCACGUUUCCAAGGCUACCGUCUGUCGGGCAGUCAGGAAUGUUACAGUUGCACUGAAACGUCUCCUGUACUCGUUUGUGGUGUUCCCCGGUCAUAGACCCACAAGAUUUAUCAAAGAGGGAUUCCACAAAAUUGCAGGUAUCAGGAUGAACAAAACUUAAUUCAUGAUGUGGUGAUACUUGAACUACUACUUAGAUUUUACAUUUAUUUUCAGGGUUCCCAGGCGUGAUUGGCUGUAUAGAUGGCACUCACAUUCCAUUCUGCUGCUUGAAGUGUUCCAUUUCCAAAAAGCAUUUUUUUUAUUUUCUUGAUCAAACAGGUCUUGUACAGCUGCUUUACAGGGAGCUAUUGAAACACAGAAAAUAGCAUUGACAUUCAUAGUACAUGCCUACUUAGGUUGGUUGUAAAUCAGUGCUGAACAUCUUACUGAGGAAAGGUUUGUUGGAGAAGUGGCUGGACCCUCUUCCUCUACAUUUUUUAUAUUUCAUUUUUACUUGCUGCCAGGAACGUUUGGGGCCUGUUGGGUUGCACAUGCGCUCACAUCACAUCACAAAAUAAAAUGUAUAAAAUAAAAAAUAAAAUGAAAUAUAAUAAAAUAACGUGUUAAAUGGGUGGAAAUCCCUAGAUCAAUUUUUAAAUUAACACUCACGCAUUGACUCUGUCGGCUAUGUAUUGCCAUGCAUGCUCCCUUUCUUUUGCAGCUGAGGCUGUGUUACUUUUUUUCCGCAAAAUUUGCAUGUUAUCGGCAUAUGCUGCCAUCAGAAUUUCGGCCUCAAGCGCUGUAAAAUACAUUGGCCGCGCCUUCUUUCCCUCCGUCUCCAUGGUGACUCGCUUAAUCUGUGCUCCACUAAUCAGGGCUUUAUGCGCGUGCUUAACUUGGGGUUUAAGCAACUCCGCGUUGAUUGAACUAAUUGUUAUCAGCCUUUCUGAAACCGAAUAUUCCGAGUUGGACAGUUCGGGGUUACUCAACCCUGAGUAUCAUUUUUAACUCUGAGUUUUCUAAACCGGCUUUCUGAAACAGGGCCCAGGUGUUUAAAUGAAG